AGUGGAAUUGUUCAGCCAUAUGGUAACUAUAUUUAAUCUUUUGAUAAAUUGCCAGACUGUUUUCCAAAGUGGCUGUGCCAUUUUACAUUCCUACCAACAGU
rnacentral:pre_miRNA from 1 species